CAGGAUGACAGUGGCAAAACCA
rnacentral:miRNA from 1 species